CAGCAGCCACGGUAAUACGAAGGGGGCUAGCGUUGUUCGGAAUUACUGGGCGUAAAGCGCACGUAGGCGGACAUUUAAGUCAGGGGUGAAAUCCCGGGGCUCAACCUCGGAACUGCCUUUGAUACUGGGUGUCUUGAGUGUGGAAGAGGUAAGUGGAAUUGCGAGUGUAGAGGUGAAAUUCGUAGAUAUUCGCAGGAACACCAGUGGCGAAGGCGGCUUACUGGUCCACAACUGACGCUGAGGUGCGAAAGCGUGGGGAGCAAACAGGAUUAGAUACCCCCGUAGUCCCUGUCUCUUAUAC
rnacentral:rRNA from 1 species